rnacentral:rRNA from 1 species
GUUGUAUGGUUAAGUGACUAAGCGUACAUGGUGGAUGCCUUGGCAGUCAGAGGCGAUGAAGGACGUACUAACCUGCGAUAAGCUGUGAGAAGUCGGUAAGAGACGCUAUUACUCACAGAUUUCCGAAUGGGGAAACCCACCCAAGAUAACUUGGGUAUCUGUUACUGAAUACAUAGGUAACAGAGGCGAACCGGGAGAACUGAAACAUCUAAGUACCCCGAGGAAAAGAAAUCAACCGAGAUUCCCUCAGUAGCGGCGAGCGAACGGGGAUUAGCCCUUAAGCAUCUUGGAAGUUAGUGGAACGGUCCUGGAAAGGCCGGCGAUACAGGGUGAUAGCCCCGUACACGAAAACAACCUUGAUGUGAAAUCGAGUAGGGCGGGACACGUGACAUCCUGUCUGAAUAUGGGGGGACCAUCCUCCAAGGCUAAAUACUCCUGACUGACCGAUAGUGAACCAGUACCGUGAGGGAAAGGCGAAAAGAACCCCUGUGAGGGGAGUGAAAUAGAACCUGAAACCGUGUACGUACAAGCAGUGGGAGCCCUUCGGGGUGACUGCGUACCUUUUGUAUAAUGGGUCAGCGACUUACAUUUUGUAGCGAGGUUAACCGUAUAGGGGAGCCGUAGGGAAACCGAGUCUUAACUGGGCGUCUAGUUGCAAGGUGUAGACCCGAAACCGGGUGAUCUAGCCAUGGGCAGGUUGAAGGUUGAGUAACAUCAACUGGAGGACCGAACCCACUAACGUUGCAAAGUUAGGGGAUGACCUGUGGCUGGGGGUGAAAGGCCAAUCAAACUCGGAGAUAGCUGGUUCUCCCCGAAAGCUAUUUAGGUAGCGCCUCGGACGAAUACUACUGGGGGUAGAGCACUGUUUGGGCUAGGGGGUCAUCCCGACUUACCAACCCCAUGCAAACUCCGAAUACCAGUAAGUAAUAUCCGGGAGACACACGGCGGGUGCUAACGUCCGUCGUGAAGAGGGAAACAACCCAGACCGCCGGCUAAGGUCCCAAAGUUCUGGUUAAGUGGGAAACGAUGUGGGAAGGCUCAGACAGCUAGGAUGUUGGCUUAGAAGCAGCCAUCAUUUAAAGAAAGCGUAAUAGCUCACUAGUCGAGUCGGCCUGCGCGGAAGAUGUAACGGGGCUCAAACCAGGCACCGAAGCCGCGGAUUCACACUUAUGUGUGAGUGGUAGGGGAGCGUUCUGUAAGUCUGCGAAGGUGUAUCGAGAGGUAUGCUGGAGAUAUCAGAAGUGCGAAUGCUGACGUAAGUAACGAUAAAGGGGGUGAAAAGCCUCCUCGCCGGAAGACCAAGGGUUCCUGUCCAACGUUAAUCGGGGCAGGGUGAGUCGACCCCUAAGGCGAGGCCGAAAGGCGUAGUCGAUGGGAAGCAGGUUAAUAUUCCUGCACGACUUGUAAUUGCGAUGGGGGGACGGAGAAGGCUAGGUGGGCCAGGCGACGGUUGUCCUGGUGAAAGUGCGUAGGUGGUGUUUCUAGGCAAAUCCGGAGACACAACACUGAGACACGAGACGAACACACUACGGUGUGGAAGCCAUUGAUGCCCUGCUUCCAGGAAAAGCCUCUAAGCUUCAGAUUACAAGUCAUCGUACCCCAAACCGACACAGGUGGUCGGGUAGAGAAUACCAAGGCGCUUGAGAGAACUCGGGUGAAGGAACUAGGCAAAAUAGAACCGUAACUUCGGGAGAAGGUUCGCUCUUGACAGUGAAGUCCCUUGCGGAUGGAGCAGUUGGGAGUCGCAGUGACCAGAUGGCUGGGACUGUUUAUCAAAAACACAGCACUCUGCAAACACGAAAGUGGACGUAUAGGGUGUGACACCUGCCCGGUGCCGGAAGGUUAAUUGAUGGGGUUAGCGCAAGCGAAGCUCUUGAUCGAAGCCCCGGUAAACGGCGGCCGUAACUAUAACGGUCCUAAGGUAGCGAAAUUCCUUGUCGGGUAAGUUCCGACCUGCACGAAUGGUGUAACCAUGGCCAUGCUGUCUCCACCCGAGACUCAGUGAAAUCGAAUUCGCCGUGAAGAUGCGGUGUACCCGCGGCUAGACGGAAAGACCCCGUGAACCUUUACUACAGCUUGGCACUGAACAUUGAACCUACAUGUGUAGGAUAGGUGGGAGGCUUUGAAGGCGUGACGCCAGUUGCGCUGGAGCCGUCCUUGAAAUACCACCCUUGUAUGUUUGAUGUUCUAACGCAGGGCCCUGAAUCGGGCUCGCGGACAGUGCCUGGUGGGUAGUUUGACUGGGGCGGUCUCCUCCCAAAGAGUAACGGAGGAGCACGAAGGUUGGCUAAUCCUGGUCGGACAUCAGGAGGUUAGUGCAAUGGCAUAAGCCAGCUUAACUGCGAGACGGACAGGUCGAGCAGGUACGAAAGUAGGUCAUAGUGAUCCGGUGGUUCUGAAUGGAAGGGCCAUCGCUCAACGGAUAAAAGGUACUCCGGGGAUAACAGGCUGAUACCGCCCAAGAGUUCAUAUCGACGGCGGUGUUUGGCACCUCGAUGUCGGCUCAUCACAUCCUGGGGCUGAAGUCGGUCCCAAGGGUAUGGCUGUUCGCCAUUUAAAGUGGUACGCGAGCUGGGUUCAGAACGUCGUGAGACAGUUCGGUCCCUAUCUGCCGUGGGCGUUGGAUGAUUGAAGGGAGUUGCUCCUAGUACGAGAGGACCGGAGUGAACGAACCUCUGGUGUUCGGGUUGUCACGCCAGUGGCACUGCCCGGUAGCUAAGUUCGGAAUCGAUAACCGCUGAAAGCAUCUAAGCGGGAAGCGAGCCCUGAGAUGAGUCAUCCCUGACCCCUUGAGGGUCCUAAAGGGCCGUUGGAGACCACAACGUUGAUAGGUGGGGUGUGUAAGCGCGGUGACGUGUUGAGCUAACCCAUACUAAUUACCCGUGAGGCUUAACCAUACAACACCCAAGAAGUGUUCU